UCGAGGGAGCUGAGAAGGAGGCCGCGGUGGAGUAGUUGAGGGACUUGACGUCGACGCGGCGAAGCCUGAGCUCGGGGUUCUUGACACGGACGAUGAGGGCGAACCCGAGGAAGGCGGCGCGGAGGAUGACGAUCGCGCGAGGGCGUAGACGAAGCACUUGCUGCUGCUGCGCCUCUGGUUGCGGCGAGGCGGCGGCUUCGCGAAGUGGGCGAGCUCCACGUCGUCGCUCCGGAGGGCAUGAUAGGGUCGGUCGGAUCUUCUUUAGGCAUCGCGAAAGUCAGAGUUCAAGUGAAUGCGAGAGAGCACGGGUCAUUGUUCUUGAUGGUG
rnacentral:lncRNA from 1 species